CAUUCUGAGAGGAGAACUGUGAAAGCACUAGGUAUUCUGAAAAGGGAAAGGUUUUUGUACACUGACUGUUGGAAAUGGGUACUGGAGUUGAUGAGUCAAAAAAAAGGGGGAAAGAGUGUGAUGAACUGAAUGCUUGUAUCCUCCCCAAACUCCUGUGUUGGAAUUCUAACCCCCAGUGUGGCGGUAUUAGGAGGUGGGAGCCUGGGGAGAUAAUUCGGUCAGUAGAGCAGAGGCUUCAUGAAUGGGAUUAGUGUCUUUAUAAGAGAAGAUAUUGAAGAGACAAUCUUUCUUUCCCUUCCGUCAUGCGAGGAUACAAUGAGAAGACCUGCCAUCUGCAAACCCAGAAGCAAGCCCUCAUCAGAUACCAGGUCUGCUGCCACCAUGAUGUGGGACUGCUCAGCCUCUAGAACUGAGCCUUGAGGUUUCUCUUCUUCUGGUGUGGAUGCUGGAACUCCUUUCUGAAGUAAGAGGCAAAUAUCUCUCAGCAGAGAGUGCCAAUACCAAUCACUUAACCAUGGCAAUCUUCCUCAGUGUUUAAUACUCACCCUGAUGGUCCCAAGAUGGCUACAGCAGUUUCAGCCACGGUAUCCUAACCCACCCACAUCUGGAUGUAUCUACCUUUUCUAUCUCUAUCUAUUAAAAAUGUAGGAUACUUUUACCAGAAGGUUCUCCUCUAGGCUACUACUCAUGUUUCACUUGACAAAAUUGGUCACAUGGAAUUUCUUAAGUCAUAUACUGAUGAGGGAGGUGGAAUUAUCAUGAUUGGAUUAGACUACCCAUGAGUCACCACUCCUCAGCCUGGGAGAAAGAUCAUUUUCUCAGAGCAAAUGUCUGCAUAUGGCUGAAGAAUGGCAUGAACUAUAAAUUUAAAAAAUUGGAGUCCUCCAGGAAAGAAAGGGAAAAUUAAACAGAAAUGACUGGGUAGGUAAAACACAAUAGUCUCCAAUGCCAAAUAAACUUUGUUUUGUUGCUCUC